UAUUUUCACCCCAAAAACUACUCAGUGUACAGACUUACCUGUGCAGUUUGGAAAGUUUUAAGGCCUGGCAGACUGGCAGGUAAGUCUGUACACUGAGUAGUUUUUGAGGUGAAAAUA
rnacentral:sRNA from 1 species